GCCUUGAUACCGAGAGCAACAGUUCCCCAGCAACACCCCCCUCCCCGACACAGGCACACCCCCCGAGGAGGCACGCACACCCACCCCACGGCGCCCGGCUCGGCAGCGCCCAGGAAAUCCACCCUGCCCCACCACGCAGAGCCAGGAAGGAAAGAGAGCCUCAUGCCUAAGCCUCGGGGAGCACCAUGGAUCUGACAAAGAUGGGCAUGAUCCAGCUGCAGAACCCCAGCCACCCCACGGGGCUCCUGUGCAAGGCCAACCAGAUGCGGCUGGCCGGGACGCUGUGCGAUGUGGUCAUCAUGGUGGACAGCCAGGAGUUCCAUGCCCACCGGACCGUGCUGGCCUGCACCAGCAAGAUGUUUGAGAUCCUCUUCCACCGCAACAGCCAGCACUAUACUCUGGACUUCCUCUCUCCAAAGACCUUCCAGCAGAUUCUGGAGUAUGCAUACACGGCCACGCUGCAAGCCAAGGCGGAAGACCUGGAUGACCUGCUGUAUGCAGCUGAGAUCCUGGAGAUUGAGUACCUGGAGGAGCAGUGCCUGAAGAUCCUGGAGACCAUCCAAGCCUCAGACGACAAUGACACGGAGGCCACCAUGGCGGAUGGCGGGGCCGAGGAAGAAGAGGACCGCAAGGCUCGGUAUCUCAAGAACAUCUUCAUCUCGAAGCAUUCCAGCGAGGAGAGUGGGUAUGCCAGUGUGGCUGCCCAGAGCCUCCCUGGGCCCAUGGUGGACCAGAGCCCUUCUGUCUCCACCUCGUUUGGUCUUUCAGCCAUGAGUCCCACCAAGGCGGCGGUGGACAGUUUGAUGACCAUAGGGCAAUCUCUCCUGCAGGGGGCUCUUCAGCCUCCUGCUGGGCCUGAGGAGCCGACUCUGGCGGGGGGAGGUCGGCACCCUGCGGUGGCCGAGGUGAAGCCGGAGAUGAUGCAGGUGGAUGAGGUGCCCGGCCAGGACAGCCCUGGUGCAGCGGAGUCUAGCAUCUCGGCUGGGAUGGGGGACAAGGUUGAGGAAAGGGGGAAGGAGGGGCCCGGAACCCCAACUCGGAGCAGCGUCAUCACCAGCGCUCGGGAGCUGCACUAUGGACGCGAGGAGAGUGCUGAGCAGCUGCCCCCUCCCACCGAGGCUGGCCAGGGCCCCCCAGGCCGACCAGAGCCCCCCGCGCCCCCAGCCGAGAAGCACCUGGGCAUCUACUCCGUGUUGCCCAACCACAAGGCCGAUGCCGUGUUGAGCAUGCCGUCCUCGGUGACCUCGGGCCUCCACGUGCAGCCCACCCUGGCUGUCUCCAUGGACUUUAGCACCUAUGGGGGUCUGCUGCCCCAGGGCUUCAUCCAGAGGGAGCUAUUCAGCAAGCUGGGGGAGCUGGCCGUGGGCAUGAAGUCGGAGAGUCGCAGCGUCGGGGAGCAGUGCAGCGUGUGCGGGGUGGAGCUUCCUGACAACGAGGCAGUGGAGCAGCACAGGAAGCUGCACAGUGGGAUGAAGACGUACGGGUGUGAGCUCUGCGGAAAGCGGUUCCUGGAUAGUUUGCGACUGAGAAUGCACUUACUGGCUCAUUCAGCGGGUGCCAAAGCCUUUGUCUGUGAUCAGUGCGGUGCCCAGUUUUCGAAGGAGGAUGCCCUGGAGACACACAGGCAGACCCAUACCGGUGACCACCCGUAUGAGUGUGAGUUCUGUGGCAGCUGCUUCCGGGAUGAGAGCACACUCAAGAGCCACAAGCGCAUCCACACGGGCGAGAAACCCUACGAGUGCAAUGGCUGUGGCAAGAAGUUCAGCCUCAAGCACCAGCUGGAGACGCACUAUCGAGUGCAUACAGGAGAGAAGCCCUUCGAGUGUAAGCUGUGCCACCAGCGCUCCCGGGACUACUCGGCCAUGAUCAAGCACCUGCGGACCCACAACGGCGCCUCGCCCUACCAGUGCACCAUCUGCACGGAGUACUGCCCCAGCCUGUCCUCCAUGCAGAAGCACAUGAAGGGCCACAAGCCCGAGGAGAUCCCGCCCGACUGGAGGAUAGAGAAGACGUACCUCUACCUGUGUUACGUGUGAGGCCAGCCUGCGGCCAUGGCGGGGGAGCAGGAGAAGCGUUAGAGCAGGAUGACGUCCAGAAGGACUGUGCAAAAACCACCACAAAAAACAAAAA
rnacentral:lncRNA from 1 species